rnacentral:ncRNA from 1 species
AAAACUGCUGUGAAAAGAUGAGUAGUGGCACGCGGUAUUCUCAGAGAGCCGGUGGGGGGUGCAAACCGGUAAUACUAACGCUGCGAACAUGGUCUUUGAGCUUUACCGGCACUGAGCCCAUAUGCUAAGUGCCGGUGGGUGCGCCCAUUAUCGCGUCGGAGUAUCAUCCCGGUUGUACUAAGGUUACAAUUUGGAUCGCACUCGGUGAGGCAUGACGUGUGAGCGUCAUGCGAAUUUAGGUGGUACCGCGUUUGCCCACAGCAAGACGUCCUUGAA